rnacentral:rRNA from 1 species
GAGUUCAAUAGUACGUGAAACCGUUCAGGGGUAAACGGACAGAGCCCGUGAAUCUGGGCGGCGAAAUUCAGAAUGACUGGGCCGGCCACGUGCAUGUCCGGUCGUUUGAUAUUUUCGCCGUCGAUCAGACGUCGCGAUCUGUUUGUAGUCGGUCUUGGAGACGCGAACGAGUUUGUUGUGAGCGUGCUUCGGCGCGUUUCACGGCAAAGGCGCGAACCUCUGGCUGGCAACGGACAGUAUGCAAUGGUGAACGACGUAUGUCGGUACCGAUCUGCGACGAUUCUUCGGGCCUCUUCCCGACCCGUCUUGAAACACGGACCAAGGAGUCUAACAUGCGCGCGAGUCACGGGGUAUCGAGCGUACUACGGUGCGCUCGACAUAUCUCGAAACCCGUAUGUUAAAGGCGUAAUGAAAGUAAACAGGGAAGAUGGUGUUCCGAGUAUAUGUUCCGUGUUUAUUCACGGCCGGACGCCCGCAUUCCCGGGGCGUCUUAAUGGAUCGCAGCGGAUGCGGACUGUCGUCUUUCGGGGCGAUAGUCGGUCCGCGGCGGUCCGAGGCGCACCUAGAGCGUGCACGUUGGUACCCGAAAGAUGGUGAACUAUGCCUGGCCAGGAUGAAGUCAGGGGAAACCCUGAUGGAGGUCCGCAGCGAUUCUGACGUGCAAAUCGAUCGUCUGAGCUGGGUAUAGGGGCGAAAGACUAAUCGAAC